UACGAGGGGGGCAAGUGUUGUUCGGAAUUAUUGGGCGUAAAGGGCGCGUAGGCGGUGCGGUAAGUCACCUGUGAAACCUCUAGGCUCAAUCUAGAGCCUGCAGGCGAAACUGCCGUGCUUGAGGGUGGGAGAGGUGCGUGGAAUUCCCGGUGUAGCGGUGAAAUGCGUAGAUAUCUGGAGGAAUACCGGUGGCGAAGGCGGCAUCCUGGACCAUUACUGACGCUGAGGCGCG
rnacentral:rRNA from 1 species